rnacentral:rRNA from 1 species
UACGUAGGCAGCGAGCGUUGUUCGGAGUUACUGGGCGUAAAGGGUGUGUAGGCGGUUCUUUAAGUUUGGUGUGAAAUCUCCCGGCUCAACCGGGAGGGUGCGCCGAAUACUGAGGGACUAGAGUAUGGGAUGGGAAAGUGGAAUUCCUGGUGUAGCGGUGAAAUGCGUAGAUAUCAGGAGGAACACCUGUGGUGUAGACGGCUCACUGGCUCGUAACUGACGCUCAUGCACGACAGCGUGGGGAUCAAACAGG